rfam:Triticum aestivum genome assembly, contig: Triticum_aestivum_CS42_TGACv1_scaffold_320463_4BL
AUUGUACUUCUUCCGUCCCAAAAUUCUUGUCUUAGAUUUGUCUAGAUACUAUCUAGACAAAUCUAAGACAAGAAUUUUGAGACGGAGGGAGUACUAA